CAGCCGCCGCGGUAAUACGUAGGGUGCAAGCGUUAAUCGGAAUUACUGGGCGUAAAGCGUGCGUAGGCGGCUUUUUAAGUCGGAUGUGAAAUCCCUGAGCUUAACUUAGGAAUUGCAUUCGAUACUGGGAAGCUAGAGUAUGGGAGAGGAUGGUAGAAUUCCAGGUGUAGCGGUGAAAUGCGUAGAGAUCUGGAGGAAUACCGAUGGCGAAGGCAGCCAUCUGGCCUAAUACUGACGCUGAGGUACGAAAGCAUGGGGAGCAAACAGGAUUAGAUACCCCCGUAGUCCCUGUCUCUUAUAC
rnacentral:rRNA from 1 species